rnacentral:tRNA from 1 species
AGUGUAGCUCAAUUGGUUAGAGCGCUGGUCUGUGGAACCAGAGGCUGUGGGUUCAAGUCCCACCAUU